GAUGAACGCUGGCGGCGUGCCUAAUACAUGCAAGUCGAGCGAACAGAUGAGGAGCUUGCUCCUCUGACGUUAGCGGCGGACGGGUGAGUAACACGUGGAUAACCUACCUAUAAGACUGGGAUAACUUCGGGAAACCGGAGCUAAUACCGGAUCAUAUAUUGAACCGCAUGGUUCAAUAGUGAAAGACGGUUUUGCUGUCUCUUAUAGAUGGAUCCGCGCCGCAUUAGCUAGUUGGUAAGGUAACGGCUUACCAAGGCAACGAUGCGUAGCCGACCUGAGAGGGUGAUCGGCCACACUGGAACUGAGACACGGUCCAGACUCCUACGGGAGGCAGCAGUAGGGAAUCUUCCGCAAUGGGCGAAAGCCUGACGGAGCAACGCCGCGUGAGUGAUGAAGGUCUUCGGAUCGUAAAACUCUGUUAUUAGGGAAGAACAAAUGUGUAAGUAAAUAUGCACGUCUUGACGGUACCUAAUCAGAAAGCCACGGCUAACUACGUG
rnacentral:rRNA from 1 species